rnacentral:misc_RNA from 1 species
GAUGAAGAACGUAGCGAAAUGCGAUAAGUAGUGUGAAUUGCAGAAUUCAGUGAAUCAUCGAAUCUUUGAACGCACAUUGCGCCCCUUGGUAUUCCAUGGGGCAUGCCUGUUCGAGCGUCAUUUAUACCUUCAAGCUUUGCUUGGUGUUGGGUGUUUGUCCAUUCUCUUGCAGAGGGACUCGCCUUAAAGUAAUUGGCAGCCAGUGUUUUGGUUUUGAAGCGCAGCACAAGUCGCGAUUCAACGCUAUACGCCAGCUUCCACAAGCCUUUUUCACUUUUGACCUCGGAUCAGGUAGGGAUACCCGCUGAACUUAAGCAUAUCAAUAAGCGGAGGA